UCUGGGCAUGUGAAGAGAAAUUGUCCAGGUGGAGCAGUAUCUGAAAAAGACUCUGAGACAAGUACUGGCAAGGUCUCCCUUGUCUUGGGAGCUGAUGGUGAUCUCAUCUAGAAGAUAAAGUUUGUCCUUAUGGUAUUUCCGCUAUACCAUGAAAAAGGACAAGUUAUUGCUAGCGGAUUCAGAACAGCACACGGGCAUUGG
rnacentral:lncRNA from 1 species